UGCCACAUCCCAUCAGCACCAGCACCUCCACUUCUGCAGCGCGCGUCGGCAUCAAGGAGGCGCCUACUUCUCCUUCGCAACCCAGGCUGCUUCUCGUUUCUUUCUGUGAAAGACGAGCAGGUGGGAGAGAGAGAGAUCUUAAGCAGUAACCCCUGUACCUCCCUCCCUCCCUCCCCCCACACACCGGCGACAGCAUCUCGCUCGGCGCCACGACAGACCGCCACAUGGCUGCAGAGAUUGGGCCCCGCCAGCACCCGCAGCGAUACCCGUAUAUUCAACCGGCAAUGCCGGCGCCCGAGACACCGCUGCUGGGCGAAGAGGCCGCUUCGCCGCCGCCGCGUCCGCCGCCGCGCAGUUGUAUGCGCGAAGGUAACCACCGCCAUGACAAAAGUUCCGCGGGCGAUUCCCAGCGCGCAACCACCUCAGACGGUCAUCCGGCCCCCCCGGAGCGGAUGCUUGAGCUGCACAGCGAGGAUGCCGUUACACCAAAGCGCUUCGCAUCCCGAAGCCACCAAAAUGACGAGGCACUUGCCACUUUCGGCCACUCAGAGGCGGACAGGGACGCCGACGGCGGUGCUGAGGAGGCACGCGCUGCCACCAACCUCGACCACAAAGCCAUGCUCGCCACGGCGCAGCUGCACAAUGCCACCAACAUGAUACUGCCGCCCAGCGUGCUUCAACCGGGAGCAACAGAGGGACUGGUGACAAUGGCGGCUGCCAAGUCACCGCGAGGACGGGAUAACCGUGCCGGAGGCGACGACUUGUGGGACCGUGGUCCGAGCAACAGCUUGGGGGCCGCUAAGGCAGCAGCUGAGGCAACGCGCACCGCCACCCAGGCCGACCUCGACGGCGCCAUCCAAGUUGAUACUACCGCUGCGGCGGACAAGAAGGAAGAAGAGAGUGAAGACGAGGAUGAGAACGGCCUCUUCCAGGAGACGGUGCUGUUCAUGAACAACAACUUCCACUCGCUCAGCAGCAUGCGUUGCACACCGGCGAAGACCCCUCAGCAGCCGAGUCAGGAAACGGUCGUCGGCUCGGCCAUUCAGACGCCGCACAUGCCUCGCUCGCUGGAGGUGACGCCUGUGAAAACGCUAUCGACAGGUCGCGAGAUGUCGGGGGAGGGCGACGCCGCUGGUCACCUGAAUCAGGCAGAGGCGGGCGCGGCUUCUUCUGACAGCAGAAGGUUCCCGGCUGCAGACACGACGGCCUCGGCGUGCUGCACGGUUUGUGUGUCACCAGCCACGACGGUGAACACGCACGUGCCGGCGGCGCCUGCCUCUCCGCUCCCUACCCCACAGCAGUGCUGCUGCCCCGAUCCUUGCGCGUCCACCUUUGCAGCCGCCGCCACCACCACAGCACCAACCACCCCAGCGGCAAGCGAAUACUUCUUCAUUGACAACCACGAUGGCACUGCCUACCUCGCCGACGCCUCGCUGCAACUGGACGGCAGCUACGUCCUCGGCCAAACCAUCUUGCUGGCUCGGAGCAGCGCCACGUCGGAGGCCUCACCGAUAUCUGCGGCGCGCCGCAAUGCCGCCGGCGCUGAGUCCCCGGUGGUGAGGCUGCAGUCUAAUGCAGACCUGCCGCAGCAGCGCGCCAAGCUCGCUCACCGCCCACUUCGCAGCGCGCGUCUUACCGAGGUACUCUCGGCAUCUAUGGCGGCACCUUUCUCCCCAAACUCGCCGGCCCCGCACCCUAUCCAGAGCGGUGCUGCAUCUCCAGUGUCUCCAAGCAUCGCUCGCGUGCUGUGCCGCUCUGCCGCUCCGUCGCGUGACAACUCGAGUCGCCCGGUGGCGUCCGCACCAGCAUGCCGUCUGCUUCCCAGCAGCUUCGGCGACAGCUUCUGCUUUGACCAGACGCUGCUGGUGCCGCUAGAUGAGAGCGCCGACGCGGGUCGCUCCGCUGUCAUCGCGGAUGCUUUGGUGACCGAUCGGAGCUACCGCAGCAGCGCCCCGGCGCGAUGGGAGGCGUGUGCCUCGCCCACGGUGGUGACACCGGCGCUCUCAUCGGCUGCCGUGUCAUUCAGAACGUUCCAGGCAGGGACAGAGCGUCGUGAGCGCGGCGUGCCACGACUCUCACCAUCCUGCCCCGCCGCCUCGUUAUCCGUCUCGCGUGCCUCUCCGGUGCCUGAUGCGCCCAUCGCAGCUGAGCAGCUUGCCUCUCAGCAGGCCCGUGCGACUCGCGAGAAACGAACUCUGCGUUCAGAUCAAGAUGUCAUCUACCUUAUCCCUCCCGACGCCGUCACGGAGACGAUGACGCCGGAUGACAUCACAAGUCAGGGUUGGAUCCCAGUGCAGGUCGUGGACGUCCUACCCUCUGCCGCGGCUACCACCGCCACUGCUGCUGGCGACGAUGGUCGUUCUCGCUCGUGCAUUGUUGGCGGUGGUGCCGAGUCACCGCUCCCCAAGAAUCCCUCCACCACUACCGCUGCUGCGAGGGUGAGCUCGCAAGGUGCUUGCGCCGACGAGUUUGAGCGUGAACAGAGCCUCUCGCGUCGUUCGUACGACGGCCACGGCGGUGGUGCCCUGCCGAUCUUCACCCCGGCGUCCACUCUCUCUGCCUCGACGCUGGAGUGCAUCAAUCGUCGGCUGACCUACUCCAUCUCGAGGUGGGCCAGCGUCCGUCAGCACUUUGACGCCGCCUCCCAGUCCGACGCUGACGGGGCCAGCGGCGCCAACCUUGCCGGCAACAUGGCGUUGCCACUCGCCACACCGCUCUGCUUCGCUGGGCAUCCCCACGAGCGGCACCACAGCAAUACCGGCGGCAGCAUCCAGAGAGAAGCAAGCUCGCUCUGCUGGGGCAACGAAAAGGCCUUCAGCGGCAGCUUCGGUGCUUUCGCGACUGAGCCGACCAGCGACAGCCACUCCCCUGUGCCGGUGCCGCCCGAGUUGUCGGAGACGCCGCAGCGUGCACAGAGCCCGUCUCGUUGCACGGCUGCCUCCAUCCCCAUCGUACCGUUACAACGAGGCCGCCCUGUCGGGGCAGCAGGCGCAGACGAGGACGACACCGGCGAUGCAGCCUACGUCGACUGGAGCUCUUUGCUGACGAGCAUGAGAUAUCAUCGCCCGUCCACUGUUGGGGCGGCAACGAGCGAGUCGCAUGCGAACGAAGGUUCCCUGAGUAUCCCGCUGACAUCGUCGGCCAGCGCGAUUCUCGGGACGGGGGCGCUGCCGCCCGCCUCCGGAGGACGGCAUGCGGGGGGGGCAGCGACCCGCGCCGUUGCUGUGCAUCAUGCCACACAGCAGGCGCCGCAGCAUCUGCGUGCCCCGCACCCUCGCCGUAUGUCCGCCACAGCGUUCUCUUACGGCACCGCCUCUUCCUCCGUCUCCGUGCAGGCCUUUGGCGAGCACAGUCAGCGGAUGCCGACGGGGGCGGUGCUGCCCCUCUCGAACGCCGCUGGCGCCGCCGGCAACAGCAGCUUCCGCACGACCUACUGCUGCAACCGCACCAGCACUACCAGCACGGAGACGGCGUCGCUCAACCCCGGCUUCGGUGGAGGCGAUUGUCCCGGCUCGAGCAGCGUCAGCGCGGCGGGACUGCCGCUCUCACGCGGUACGCUGCCCCACCAUCAUCCACACCACCAGCACAGCUACUCGCAACAGCGUGCUGGUAUGGUCCGUAUACACAGCACCGGCAGUUUGCCGGCAGAGAGGUUCACGGCGGAGGCUGCGGCGAUGAGUGUCAGCGGCGCGGCCCCCCGCUCGGGGGCGGUGAGCCGCAACAGCAUUCUGCAUCGCAACCGCUACGCCAGUCCACACCAGCAACAGUACCUUCGCUGGACAGAGGCCACGGCGCUAGCUGGGGCCGGGCCAGCAACGGUCUGCGGCCGUCGUGCCGCUGCGACUGCAGGGUUCCUGGUGCCAGACACUUCUGUGUUCCUGCCCUGGGCCCCGCUCACCAUCACACCGGAGGGCUCUGUCAACCUGGGCGGAAGUGACGCGACUGGCCGUCGCAGCGGCGCCGCUGCGACGACUGCCGCGCCUGCGUCCUAUGUGCCGAUGACACUGAUGCCAUUCACCAGCUCCGCGGAAACGAGCACGACGACGACGACGAACAGCACCACGUGCGACGCGGUGAGCACGCGAGAGGUGGCGCACCAGAUCUCCGACGACCUCACCCGCGGCGACACGGUGCUCUCCCCCGAGACGCUGCGAACGCUGAACACCGCCGUGGCGGCUGCGAUGGAGAUGACUGUGAAUCAGCUUCAGGAAUCUCUGUACGCUGCAUCGACGGCAACAGAGUCGGAGCCCGUGCCGCUGGCGCCGAACGCGGAUGCGACAACACCAGCGGUGCCCUCCUUUCCUCACGCAUUCAAGCAAGACGACGAGGCUCACAAAGAAAAUCGUGCAGCGCGUUUCCGGAUAAGCUGCAACCCCGCCAGAGCUGCUGUUGCCGCUGACAGUGUGCAGAGGUCGAGGUCCGCCAGUGCAACAAGACCGCUCGGAUGUCAGGAAGGUUCGGCGACGAACAUCGCCGUGCGACUGUCCAGCAAGGCACGCUCGCCCUCUAACCCGGCACAACCAGGGGGCGCUCCUCUUCUUGGUCAGCAGUUGCCGCAGUAGAGGCACCCAACGUUGGCCAGAUGCUGAGGAGACAAGCACGCCGCAAGUUUCCUCAUCUUAGGACCUGUGAACACAGACGUGCGCCUCUGCUUGUCUGUGGGGCGGGGGUGACCGUUUUCGUGUGUGCUUGCGCACGCCCCCCCCCCCCCCCCCAUGAUGUGUGUGUGUGUGUGUGUCGGGGGGGGGCGGCGGCUGCGCUGCCUGUGUUGCUGUUGUUAUCUCCCUUUCUCUCGCUUGGCUAAAUCUAGACUUCUUUCUCGCUUGCACUCUCUUCUUGUUUUCGCUUCCCUGCCCUUGCGACGCUCUGUGGUUUCCGAUGCGCCAGUCACAGAGACACGAGGGCGCCCCCACGUGCAGAGGCAGAGAAGGACUCGCGCAUGAAGGGACAUACAGACCACGCCGGCUCCCCUCCCUUCCCCUCCCUUCCUCCAUUAUAUAUAUAUAUAUAUAUAGGAUCACUCUUGAAAAGGCUCUUUUUAGUGCACCUGCCACCCCUCCCCUGCCUUCACCUCCGCGCCCUUCAUCUCCCUUCCCCUCUCUCGCUGGCGUGUCCUAUCGCACGCGUCACGGCACACCAUCACUACGACAGCGAGAGGGAGAGAUGAAGGACGAGCGAGCGCACACGCACAGAGAGAAAAAAAAAUAACGUAUACCCAUAAUAUAAAACGCCUGCUUAUUCUUCCCCCCUUCUUGUACCCCUUCUCCUCCUCCUCUCGGUCUGUGUGUGUACGUUUGUGUGUGCAUCCACUCCCUACCCCCUUCUCAGAUCAUCUUCACUGCCCUCUCACCGUUCUCUCUCGUCAUUUCUGUUGCUUGCCUUUCGCUGAUCGAAUCCAUUUUUUUAUAUGUUCUUGUACCUCCCCCAUCCCCUACCCCCACUCUACCCAGCCGCCUUUAGGCACUAGAGAACAACACACCUUACCCAUCUCCGUGUACUCUACAUUCACGCUACUGUCUAGAUCUAUAUAUAUAUAUAUAUAUAUGUAUAUGUAUAUUGUAUGUGUAUCUGACCACUCAUGGAUGGUGCCUUCUCUGUACGUGGGUGCUUGUGUCUGCGCACCUCCUCGUCGGGGCCUCACCCCCCCCUCCGCUCACCAGCUCAGGCAAGAGCCCGAGGGGCGACAGGCAUCGAGCAUACCAAACAGGCGCGUCGAAUACAUGUAG
rnacentral:misc_RNA from 1 species